UGGGGAAUUUUGGACAAUGGGCGAAAGCCUGAUCCAGCAAUGCCGCGUGUGUGAAGAAGGCCUUCGGGUUGUAAAGCACUUUUGUCCGGAAAGAAAUCCUUGGCUCUAAUACAGUCGGGGGAUGACGGUACCGGAAGAAUAAGCACCGGCUAACUACGUGCCAGCAGCCGCGGUAGUACGUAGGGUGCAAGCGUUAAUCGGAAUUACUGGGCGUAAAGCGUGCGCAGGCGGUUUGCUAAGACCGAUGUGAAAUCCCCGGGCUCAACCUGGGAACUGCAUUGGUGACUGGCAGGCUAGAGUAUGGCAGAGGGGGGUAGAAUUCCACGUGUAGCAGUGAAAUGCGUAGAGAUGUGGAGGAAUACCGAUGGCGAAGGCAGCCCCCUGGGCCAAUACUGACGCUCAUGCACGAAAGCGUGGGGAGCAAACAGGAUUAGAUACCCUGGUAGUCCACGCCCUAAACGAUGUCAACUAGUUGUUGGGGAUUCAUUUCCUUAGUAACGUAGCUAACGCGUGAAGUUGACCGCCUGGGGAGUACGGUCGCAAGAUU
rnacentral:rRNA from 1 species